rnacentral:rRNA from 1 species
UACGUAGGUGGCAAGCGUUGUUCGGAAUUAUUGGGCGUAAAGGGCGCGUAGGCGGUCUGUCGCGUCUGCUGUGAAAACUCAGGGCUUAACCCUGAGCUUGCAGUGGGUACGGGCAGACUAGAGUGCGGUAGGGGAGACUGGAAUUCCUGGUGUAGCGGUGAAAUGCGCAGAUAUCAGGAGGAACACCGGUGGCGAAGGCGGGUCUCUGGGCCGUAACUGACGCUGAGGAGCGAAAGCAUGGGGAGCGAACAGG